CUCCCUGAUGUUAGCGGCGGACGGGUGAGUAACACGUGGGUAACCUGCCUGUAAGACUGGGAUAACUCCGGGAAACCGGGGCUAAUACCGGAUGGUUGUCUGAACCGCAUGGUUCAGACAUAAAAGGUGGCUUCGGCUACCACUUACAGAUGGACCCGCGGCGCAUUAGCUAGUUGGUGAGGUAACGGCUCACCAAGGCGACGAUGCGUAGCCGACCUGAGAGGGUGAUCGGCCACACUGGGACUGAGACACGGCCCAGACUCCUACGGGAGGCAGCAGUAGGGAAUCUUCCGCAAUGGACGAAAGUCUGACGGAGCAACGCCGCGUGAGUGAUGAAGGUUUUCGGAUCGUAAAGCUCUGUUGUUAGGGAAGAACAAGUGCCGUUCAAAUAGGGCGGCACCUUGACGGUACCUAACCAGAAAGCCACGGCUAACUACGUGCCAGCAGCCGCGGUAAUACGUAGGUGGCAAG
rnacentral:rRNA from 2 species